rnacentral:rRNA from 1 species
AGUGAACGCUGGCGGUAGGCCUAACACAUGCAAGUCGAACGGCAGCACAGUAAGAGCUUGCUCUUACGGGUGGCGAGUGGCGGACGGGUGAGGAAUACAUCGGAAUCUACUUUUUCGUGGGGGAUAACGUAGGGAAACUUACGCUAAUACCGCAUACGACCUACGGGUGAAAGCAGGGGAUCUUCGGACCUUGCGCGAUUGAAUGAGCCGAUGUCGGAUUAGCUAGUUGGCGGGGUAAAGGCCCACCAAGGCGACGAUCCGUAGCUGGUCUGAGAGGAUGAUCAGCCACAAUGGAACUGAGACACGGGCCAGACUCCUACGGGAGGCAGCAGUGGGGAAUAUUGGACCAAGGGCGCAAGCCUGAUCCAGCCAUACCGCGUGGGUGAAGAAGGCCUUCGGGUUGUAAAGCCCUUUUGUUGGGAAAGAAAAGCAGCAGGUUAAUACCCCGCUGUUCUGACGGUACCCAAAGAAUAAGCACCGGCUAACUUCGUG